UAGGGAAUCUUCGGCAAUGGACGGAAGUCUGACCGAGCAACGCCGCGUGAGUGAAGAAGGUUUUCGGAUCGUAAAGCUCUGUUGUAAGAGAAGAACGAGUGUGAGAGUGGAAAGUUCACACUGUGACGGUAUCUUACCAGAAAGGGACGGCUAACUACGUGCCAGCAGCCGCGGUAAUACGUAGGUCCCGAGCGUUGUCCGGAUUUAUUGGGCGUAAAGCGAGCGCAGGCGGUUAGAUAAGUCUGAAGUUAAAGGCUGUGGCUUAACCAUAGUACGCUUUGGAAACUGUUUAACUUGAGUGCAAGAGGGGAGAGUGGAAUUCCAUGUGUAGCGGUGAAAUGCGUAGAUAUAUGGAGGAACACCGGUGGCGAAAGCGGCUCUCUGGCUUGUAACUGACGCUGAGGCUCGAAAGCGUGGGGAGCAAACAGGAUUAGAUACCCUGGUAGUCCACGCCGUAAACGAUGAGUGCUAGGUGUUAGACCCUUUCCGGGGUUUANUGCCGUAGCUAACGCAUUAAGCACUCCGCCUGGGGAGUACGACCGCAAGGUUG
rnacentral:rRNA from 1 species